GACGAACGCUGGCGGCGUGCUUAACACAUGCAAGUCGAACGGAAAGGCCUCUUUCGGGGGGUACUCGAGUGGCGAACGGGUGAGUAACACGUGAGUAACCUGCCCUUGACUUUGGGAUAACUUCAGGAAACUGGGGCUAAUACCGGAUAGGAGCUCCUGCUGCAUGGUGGGGGUUGGAAAGUUUCGGCGGUUGGGGAUGGACUCGCGGCUUAUCAGCUUGUUGGUGGGGUAGUGGCUUACCAAGGCUUUGACGGGUAGCCGGCCUGAGAGGGUGACCGGCCACAUUGGGACUGAGAUACGGCCCAGACUCCUACGGGAGGCAGCAGUGGGGAAUAUUGCACAAUGGGUGGAAGCCCGAUGCAGCAACGCCGUGUGCGGGAUGACGGCCUUCGGGUUGUAAACCGCUUCCGCUCAUGACGAAGCUUUGUGUGACGGUAGUGGGUAAAGAAGCACCGGCUAACUACGUG
rnacentral:rRNA from 1 species